rnacentral:ncRNA from 1 species
AUGAAGGCAAGGGGAGAGACUAUAUAUGUAGCGCCGAAGGAGCAAGCUGAAAAGUGAAUCUCUCAGGCAAAAGAACUCUUGCUGGACG